GUUCACAUGGGGCAGACACGGGGCUCACGUGUUCUCGCCCUUUCUUCCCCUUUGCCCUCCUGGGCCAUCGGGGCCAGAGGGCCAAGGGCAGUGCAACCUGGGAAAGGUGGAGCCAACACUCAGAGCUGGACUUGGCCUUCCCACAGAGGACCCGGGCCUGACCGCACUGCCGGGCGGCACAGAUGAGAAGCCGCCUUGUGGGGGAGGGUAGGAACCUCAGGUGACCCUUCUCUUGGUGGCCGUGUCUCCCUGUGCUUGCGUCUCCCUUGGAUCUAGCUCCUCCAUCCUUAUUCUAAGUCCCCCCCCCCCAGUCCCAGUCCAUCACCUCCCCCCACUCUCAGAUCUUUGCAAUACAGACAAAGGCAAGACAAUUGUGCCUUUUCCUGCCCUCAUUUUCCUUUGAGGGGCGGCAGGUUCUCCCCUCCCCUCCUUUUACCAGAAGGUGAGUGCACUUGGCUCUCCUGCUGCUGCACCCCUUCCUUCUGUCAGCCCCCCAUGGCCUGCUGCCUGUGCUCUUUCUGCUCAGCUCUUUGUAAGUGGCGUCUGUCCGUAGACCUGUGGGGUCAGCGGGCUCAUGGCCUCCUGACCGAAGUCUCAGCCUGUGUGGCUUUGGGCAGGUUUCUUCAUCUUCAGAAUGAUGUCAUGUUUGCCUUUUAAAGUUGUUGGAGGAUUAACAGUCAGGAUGCACGGUGAGCGUUCAGUGAAAGGCACCUACUGUUGGUGACAUUUCACCAAGUGGCCCUUCAUUUUCCCUGGCACCACCCACGGUGCCCCCACCCUUUCCUGGAGUUCAUCCUUUAGCCGGCCCUGUUGACUUUGGUUUUCUUUCCAAGGUCACGGCUGCUGUCACCGAGUGAUCGCAGUCUCAUCGCAGGGGCAGCCGUGCCUUUCCGCUCGAUAACUUCACACUCGUCUUGAGUCUCCUGAGCGCCCCGCUGUGCGCCACGCGAAGCCUGCGUGAGGGCAGGGCUGGCCAGCAGGGGGCGUCCCUCCCCUGGCACACCUGUGCGUUUCACUCAAGUUGGUAAAAACCUGAGUGACGCUCGCCUGUGAACCUGCCGGCCCUUCCCACGGGGGAGGAGGAGUGCAGAGCUCCGGUCGGUCAGCAGGAGGCCUUUCCAGACGCGGAAGCUGGACCCUGGGGGCUAGACUCCUCCUAAAAGACAGGCCGGGGCCGGGAGAUGUGCGAGGAGAGGAGCUUUGUUAAAACCCCGGCUUCCUGCUUGCCAGCCUGUCACUGCUUACCCACCCGCGUCCACACCCGAGAGACGGAGUGUCUCUGAGUUUCUGAUAAAUUAGCCCUUUAACAAUUUUAA